rnacentral:rRNA from 1 species
CGACCGGCGCACGGGUGAGUAACACGUAUGGAACCUGCCCGCAGCAGGGGGAUAAGCGGAAGAAAUUCCGUCUAAUACCGCGUAACAACGUUGGGAGGCAUCUCCCGAUGUUUAAAGAUUUAUCGGCUGCGGAUGGCCAUGCGGCGCAUUAGCUAGUCGGCGGGGUAACGGCCCACCGAGGCGACGAUGCGUAGGGGUGCUGAGAGGAAGGUCACCCACACUGGUACUGAGACACGGACCAGACUCCUACGGGAGGCAGCAG